GACAGAGGUCCCGAGCGUUAGGCGGAAUCACUGGGCUUAAAGCGUGUGUAGGCGGAUCUGUAAGUACCUUGUGAAAUCCCACGGCUCAACCGUGGAACUGCUUGGUAUACUGCGGAUCUUGAGCCACCUAGGGGCAACCGGAACAAGUGGUGGAGCGGUGAAAUGCGUAGAUAUCACUUGGAACGCCAAUGGUGAAAACAGGUUGCUGGGGGUGUGCUGACGCUGAGACACGAAAGCCAGGGGAGCAAACGGG
rnacentral:rRNA from 1 species